GAAGAUCAGCCUAGCUAGAUCUCACUUGGUCACACCUUGUGGAUGGUAUAGAUGUCCACUUGCGAUAAAAACUGAACGCUGUGUUGCAUCUUGGAUGAAGUGAAGUAUUGUAAUAGGCAGUUUUAUAACUUGAUCCCUAGCAAUUAGCAACAUGUAGUUUGUGGUAAUAACUUCACUAACUGCUGUAUGAUUUGGUUUGUCGUCCUAAAUCAAACAGUUUCAACUUGGACCAUAGCAAAAAAAAUAUAAAGAUGAACAAUGUAAAAAUUAUAAUACCAGAUUCGCUGAGAACCCAACUAUCAUAAUAUAUGUAAUCUAUUCUACAC
rnacentral:lncRNA from 1 species